rnacentral:rRNA from 1 species
UACGUAGGUGGCAAGCGUUGUUCGGAAUUAUUGGGCGUAAAGGGCGCGUAGGCGGUUUGUUAAGUCGGUUGUGAAAGCCCGGGGCUCAACCCCGGAGAGUCGACCGAUACUGGCAGACUAGAGUACUGUAGGGGCAGGCGGAAUUCCGGGUGUAGCGGUGGAAUGCGUAGAGAUCCGGAGGAAGACCGGUGGCGAAGGCGGCCUGCUGGGCAGUUACUGACACUGAGGCGCGACAGCGUGGGGAGCAAACAGG